rnacentral:rRNA from 1 species
AAUCAACGCUGGCGGCGUGCCUCAGACAUGCAAGUCGAACGCGAAAUUUCCCUUCGGGGAGAAAGUAGAGUGGCGCACGGGUGAGUAACACGUGGGUAAUUUACCUUCGGGUGGGGAAUAACAGUCGGAAACGACUGCUAAUACCGCAUGAUGCAGCGGCACCACAUGGUGACAGUUGUUAAAGCGGGGGAUCGCAAGACCUCGCGCCUGAAGAGAAGCCCGCGGCAGAUUAGCUAGUUGGUAAGGUAAUGGCUUACCAAGGCAACGAUCUGUAGCCGGCCUGAGAGGGCGGUCGGCCACACUGACACUGAAUAACGGGUCAGACUCCUACGGGAGGCAGCAGUCGGGAAUUUUGGGCAAUGGGCGAAAGCCUGACCCACGCAACGCCGCGUGAAGGGUAGAAAUACCCUCGGGAUGUAAACUUCGCAAGAACGGGAAGAAUAAGUAGAAGCGAAUACCUU